rnacentral:lncRNA from 1 species
GUUUACUUGCUACAUGCAGUGAUUCAACUAAGUCACGAAGGGACUGGGUGCCAGAAUCCAGACAGCCCUAUGAUGUAAGGAGCUUGUCCUCAUAGCAGGCACAAGCAGCUGCCCAGAGAAAAAUGGUGAAGUAUCAUGUAUUCUCUCUCCAAGCUGCUGAUGCCGUAACCCACAGAGUCCCCAGCCUUCAGAAGACACCCCCCCCCAUUCAGAUGGCUGUAAACUGUCCUGCAAAUGGGGGUCAAUUGCUCCUGGAGGCUGAGAUUAGGAGGUUGAGAAGCCCAGAUCACAUGGAGCAGCCUAAAUCAAGUCUUUCUCCAUCAUGGGAGGACCCAGGUAGGUCUUCUGCUCUCUGCUCUUAGAGCCAUGGAUGUCUUCUGUCUUGAAAAAGAACCCAAAGGACCAGGCCUGUCUCUAUAUCAUCUCAUCCUUGGCAGGACCACUGGACAAGCAGACUGUCUGUUGUAGCUGGAGAUAAAUCUUUU